UACGGAGGGGUGCAAGCGUUAAUCGGAAUUACUGGGCGUAAAGCGUGCGUAGGCGGUUCGUUAAGUCUGUUGUGAAAGCCCCGGGCUCAACCUGGGAAUGGCAAUGGAUACUGGCGAGCUAGAGUGUGUCAGAGGAUGGUGGAAUUCCCGGGUGUAGCGGUGAAAUGCGUAGAGAAUCGGGAGGAACAUCAGUGGCGAAGGCGGCCAUCUGGGAACAACACUGACGCUGAGGCACGAAAGCGUGGGGAGGCAA
rnacentral:rRNA from 1 species